UAGUGCCAAUGAUGAAAGUACAUAAAUGUGCCUACAUCGUUUGAUAUUUUUAUGAGAAAUGUGUAUGAUCUGAGGCCAUG